GAUUUUCGGUACUAGCAUGGUUAAGUUUCACAAACACCAGAAUGAAAGAAAAAACUACGCAGAAAAAAUGCAUGCAGCAUAAUAUAUAAUGUUUUCCUAUAUUAAAGCAGUUUUGCAGAGGCAUGUAUUAAAAUAUGUAUUAUAUACAUAUAUGUGAAGGCAUAUACAUAUGCCUGGGAAUAAUAUCAAACUCAAGAGUUUUUUAUGGGGCAGGCAGGAGUGUGACCAUGCAAUUGGAAAUGUCUUAUUUCUUAAGCUAGUAUUUAUUAUGGAAUUCUUUUAAGCCUUUUAUAUGUGUAAACUAUUUUGUAAAGUAAUGUAUUGUGACAUGUCAAUUAUAAAUAGCCAAAAAUAAGCCCUUGUAACUUGCUAAUUGAUUCUGUCAUUUUUUAAUUUUAUUUAUUUAUUUAUUUAUUUAUUUAUUUUAUUUAUUUUUUUUUAGGGCCCUACCUGUGGCAUAUGGAGGUUCCCAGGCUAGGGGUGUAAUUGGAGCCACAGAUGCCAGCCUAUGCCACAGCCACAGCAACACCAGAUCGGAGCCACAUCUGUGAACUACACCAUAGCUCACAGCAACACUGGAUCCUAAACUCACUGAGUGAGGCCAGGGACUGAACUCACAACCUCAUGGUUUCUAGUCUGAUUCAUUUCCACUGAGCCACAAUGGGAACUUCUGUCAUUUUCUCUGUUUUAUUGUAUUAUCAUUUUUUAAGUAUACCUUUAAAUAUGUAUUACUUUUAUUUUGAAACUUUAAAUAUUCGAUUUUGUAUUUAUUGGGUGAGAUUUCAAUAUCAAAACUUAGAAGUCAUCCAAUUUUCACUCCUAGUAACAUCUCUAUUCCUUUCAACCUUAUUAUUAAAUAGGUGGAGUUAUCAGCUUGUGCUUUUGAAUGGCAUAACUUAGUAAGGAUGAGUUUAAAUAUUUGACCACUUGAGUGAUCUCUGACAUAAUGUAAAUGUUGAAGAGACAAACUUAGAGAAUUAAAUGAUGAAAAUUAUUUUAAUUUUAGGGUAAGUCUUCAUUAUUCAAUAAUCUCGCAUAUGCCCGUUCUAUAUUCUGACAAAAUUCUCUUCCUGGUAUGGCAUUCUAGAUGUAACUUUGACAUUCUUAUUGUCACAUAGGCCUCUUGGGCAUUUAUUCUUCUGUUUCCUGCUUUUCCUUGGACUUAAACAUAAUUGUUAUUUGGGUCAUUUACAAAUCAUCCAACUGCCUUCUUUGUUUAAAUUUUUAGGAAAAAAAAACAUUAUAAAACAUUGAUGGCCUAUUAUUUUAAAAUAUUACCUUACAGAAAGAAGUAAAAAAAAAUUGGGAAUUCCCUUUGUGGCUUGGAGGGUUAUGAAUCCAGCUAGUAUCCAUGAAGAUGCAGGUUUGAUCCCUGGCCUUGCUCGGUGGGUUAAGGAUCUGGCAUGCCAUGAGCUGUGGUGAGGGUAACAGAUGCAGUUAAGAUCUGGCAUUGCUGUGGCUGUGUUAUUGGCUGGAAGCUGCAGCUCUGAUUUGACCCCUAGCCUGGAAACGUCCCUAUGCUAUAGGUGCCGCCUUGAAGAGCAAAAGUAAAUAUAUAAGUAAAAA
rnacentral:lncRNA from 1 species